AUUGUACAAAAGAAUCUGGAAUUUACAAGAUUACCGUCUAGGCAUCCUAGACCAAAAUACAUGACCAACAUAGAAUCUUCAGUUUUAUCUUUGACAUUGCCAUUAGCAAAAUUGAAAAUUACACUACUUUGCUUUGAGGAUAUACCUUCAACAUGGCCAUCAAUAAAUUCCUCAAGCAAAGUCAAAACAAAUACAAAGAUAAAUGCUUUCAUGAGUCAAAAUGAUAGCGUGAUCAAUCAUUACAAUCCCAAUAAAUUUCAUGAGCAAUAGAAGAGGGGUAGUAAGCCCAAAUGGCAUGUAAUGAUUCCAAAAAAAAAAAUAAUAAUAAUAAUAAUAAUUUACAUCUCCCUCCCCUAUACUUUUUUCUUAGUAUAUCCCCUUCUCCUAUGUUUUCAGAAAUUAUGUCCACCUCCCCUGUCAGAUAACAAUGAUGUUAGUGGGGUGUUAGUUUUGAAUUAUAAAAGAUGAUGUUAGGCUUUUGUAAUUCAACCACAAUGUAAAUACCUAUUUUACCCUUAUGUGUCUUCACAUACCAUUAACCCCCAAAUUUUAAAGAGAUUAGGGAUUAGGGUUUGAGAAAAAACUAAAUGGGGUUCAUCAUCUCCGGCGACAGGCGAGGGUUGUAGGCGACAGCAAUGGUGAGAGAGGUGAUUCUGAUCUGACCUCAAGCUCAACUGGGCAUAUACAGAGCACUAAUCUGUCAGCAAUUUCACAAGUGCUCUUCUUCAUAUAGAGGAUGGAGCUUCGAUCGUAGUUUGUCGUUCGCCGAUCGCCAAGGUGGAGAUAUUUCCCCGUUUGGAUGUAUGGUAUGAAGUUUCUCUAAAGUGGGAUGAGAUUUCCCACUGAUUCAAUUUUUUGAAUUGGGAAAGAUGUAUAUCAGGAUAAAAGAGUAAGACUACAAUAAUGAGGUUAAUUAGCCAUGUGAGUUUUUGGAUUCUCAAUAUAAUAUUUAGACCAGAAA